GAGCAUCCUCAGUAAACCCCCUAGUUUCUAUGCUUGGCCUCUGGGAAAAUGAAGGAUGCAAGAUCAAGCUUAGAGUCAUCCAAAGCUGGGGGCCUUGUGUCAGUUGCCCUCGGUUAUUUCAGCUCUCAGACAGGC